rnacentral:lncRNA from 1 species
UGAAGCCAGGAAGAGGGCAGUGGGAUGGGAGCAGAGGGGACAGCCUAGGGACCUGGGAGAGGGUCGGGGAAACCCAGGGGAGGAGGGCAGAAGAGAUGAGAAGAGGGCUGGAGGAGGCCAGCUCUGCCCCAUCCAGGGCAGGCCUGCACCCCUGAGGGCCCCGUGGACACAGGGCAGCAGGGUGGAGACGGGCAGCGCCUAUCCCCUGGUUGUGCCCGGGCUGGGCGCGGCUAGGUCCUCCCCGUGGGAAGAGCCCUGGGCUGGUGGGGGAGGCACCCCUGGUCAGAGGUCUGCAGGAAACACUGGCCCUCCCCCUGGCCUGCCCAGGGCCUGCAGGGGCACUCACUCUGGGGAGAGCACCCCCUGGCAGCCUGGACUCCACAGUCCAUGCAUAAUGCAGUAUUUACCUGGGGGUGAUUGGCGGCCCCUCGGCUCCAGCACCCCUCCCCCGCGGCCCCAGACGGUGAGCCAGACAUGCAUUAAGACAGGAGUGACUUAUCGAGCUGUCAGGGGGAGCGUUUUAAGACAGAAUUAUAGGGGAGAGGGAAAAGAUUUUUACCAAAUUAAUGAAAAAUCAAUCUGGCCUCAAAAAUCCAUUAGCCUUCAUAAUGCGCGGGUUCCAGGCUGAGCCGCACAAUCCGAUAUCAGCUGUUAAAUACCGCCGCGCUCCCCGAUGCCCACCAUUCAUUAUAGGAUGGUGUUUACUCCUGAGACGGACACCUGCCUCAGUGUGCAGCCACAGUUUGUCCAGGGCUCCUGUCCCCAAGCCCCCCUGGGAGGCCCCACACUGGGGGAGUGGACAGUGGCUCCCUGGGUACACACCCAGACAGCAGGUCCCACAGGGCAAGGGUGGCAGACCUGAGCAGAAGGGAAGUCCACGAUAACUGGCCACCAGAGUGUUGCAGCCCUGACUGUGGAGCUGGCUAGGGUGGUCAAGAGUGACCAUGAGAGUGAUGACCAUUGGAGUAGGUAGCCAUGGGGAUAAGUGAUCAUGGAGGUAAGGAACCAUGGAGGUGAGGUGACCAUGGAGGUGACCUGGGGUAACCAUGGGGGUGAGGUGACCAUGAGGUGAGUGACCAUGAUGAUGA